UACGAAAGGGGCUAGCGUUGUUCGGAAUUACUGGGCGUAAAGCGCACGUAGGCGGCCUAUUAAGUUGGGGGUGAAAUCCCGGGGCUCAACCCCGGAACUGCCUCCAAGACUGGUAAGCUAGAGGAUGUGAGAGGAGAGUGGAAUUCCGAGUGUAGAGGUGAAAUUCGUAGAUAUUCGGAAGAACACCAGUGGCGAAGGCGACUCUCUGGCACAUUUCUGACGCUGAGGUGCGAAAGCGUGGGGAGCAAACAGG
rnacentral:rRNA from 1 species